rnacentral:rRNA from 1 species
AGCGAACGCUGGCGGCAUGCCUUACACAUGCAAGUCGAACGGCAGCACGGGAGCUUGCUCCUGGUGGCGAGUGGCGAACGGGUGAGUAACAUAUCGGAACGUACCCAGUCGUGGGGGGAUAACUAUCCGAAAGGAUAGCUAAUACCGCAUACGUCCUGAGGGAGAAAGCGGGGGAUCGCAAGACCUCGCGCGAUUGGAGCGGCCGAUAUCGGAUUAGCUAGUUGGUGGGGUAAAGGCUCACCAAGGCGACGAUCCGUAGCGGGUCUGAGAGGACGACCAGCCACACUGGAACUGAGACACGGUCCAGACUCCUACGGGAGGCAGCAGUGGGGAAUUUUGGACAAUGGGGGCAACCCUGAUCCAGCAAUGCCGCGUGAGUGAAGAAGGCCU